UCGGGAAUUUUGGGCAAUGGGCGAAAGCCUGACCCAGCAACGCCGCGUGAAGGAUGAAGUAUUUCGGUAUGUAAACUUCGAAAGAAUAGGAAGAAUAAAUGACGGUACUAUUUAUAAGGUCCGGCUAACUACGUGCCAGCAGCCGCGGUAAUACGUAGGGACCAAGCGUUGUUCGGAUUUACUGGGCGUAAAGGGCGCGUAGGCGGCGUGGUAAGUCAUCUGUGAAAUCUCCGAGCUUAACUCGGAACGGUCAGAUGAUACUGCUGUGCUAGAGUACAGAAAGGGCAAUCGGAAUUCUUGGUGUAGCGGUGAAAUGCGUAGAUAUCAAGAGGAACACCUGAGGCGAAGGCGGGUUGCUAGGCUGAUACUGACGCUGAGGCGCGAAAGCUAGGGUAGCAAACGGGAUUAGAUACCCUCGUAGUCCCUGAGCGGGCUGGCAAGGCGCAU
rnacentral:rRNA from 1 species